rnacentral:rRNA from 1 species
GAUGAACGCUGGCGGCGUGCCUAAUACAUGCAAGUCGAGCGAACGGACGAGAAGCUUGCUUCUCUGAUGUUAGCGGCGGACGGGUGAGUAACACGUGGAUAACCUACCUAUAAGACUGGGAUAACUUCGGGAAACCGGAGCUAAUACCGGAUAAUAUUUUGAACCGCAUGGUUCAAAAGUGAAAGACGGUCUUGCUGUCACUUAUAGAUGGAUCCGCGCUGCAUUAGCUAGUUGGUAAGGUAACGGCUUACCAAGGCAACGAUGCAUAGCCGACCUGAGAGGGUGAUCGGCCACACUGGAACUGAGACACGGUCCAGACUCCUACGGGAGGCAGCAGUAGGGAAUCUUCCGCAAUGGGCGAAAGCCUGACGGAGCAACGCCGCGUGAGUGAUGAAGGUCUUCGGAUCGUAAAACUCUGUUAUUAGGGAAGAACAUAUGUGUAAGUAACUGUGCACAUCUUGACGGUACCUAAUCAGAAAGCCACGGCUAACUACGUGCCAGCAGCCGCGGUAAUACGUAGGUGGCAAGCGUUAUCCGGAAUUAUUGGGCGUAAAGCGCGCGUAGGCGGUUUUUUAAGUCUGAUGUGAAAGCCCACGGCUCAACCGUGGAGGGUCAUUGGAAACUGGAAAACUUGAGUGCAGAAGAGGAAAGUGGAAUUCCAUGUGUAGCGGUGAAAUGCGCAGAGAUAUGGAGGAACACCAGUGGCGAAGGCGACUUUCUGGUCUGUAACUGACGCUGAUGUGCGAAAGCGUGGGGAUCAAACAGGAUUAGAUACCCUGGUAGUCCACGCCGUAAACGAUGAGUGCUAAGUGUUAGGGGGUUUCCGCCCCUUAGUGCUGCAGCUAACGCAUUAAGCACUCCGCCUGGGGAGUACGACCGCAAGGUUGAAACUCGAAGGAAUUGACGGGGACCCGCACAGGCGGUGGAGCAUGUGGUUUAAUUCGAAGCAACGCGAAGAACCUUACCAAAUCUUGACAUCCUUUGACAACUCUAGAGAUAGAGCCUUCCCCUUCGGGGGACAAAGUGACAGGUGGUGCAUGGUUGUCGUCAGCUCGUGUCGUGAGAUGUUGGGUUAAGUCCCGCAACGAGCGCAACCCUUAAGCUUAGUUGCCAUCAUUAAGUUGGGCACUCUAAGUUGACUGCCGGUGACAAACCGGAGGAAGGUGGGGAUGACGUCAAAUCAUCAUGCCCCUUAUGAUUUGGGCUACACACGUGCUACAAUGGACAAUACAAAGGGCAGCGAAACCGCGAGGUCAAGCAAAUCCCAUAAAGUUGUUCUCAGUUCGGAUUGUAGUCUGCAACUCGACUACAUGAAGCUGGAAUCGCUAGUAAUCGUAGAUCAGCAUGCUACGGUGAAUACGUUCCCGGGUCU